AAUCGGAAAUUCCCUUUAAUAAUUGAAACAUUAUCCACUUUUUUUCAGUCAACUCAAGAAAGGGCCUAGUAGAAAUUCUAUCAUACAAAUUGUGAGUCACGUAUGGACGCACCAGGUAGGCAGCGCGAAGCGUAACCAACGUUUUUAUAUAGGGUACGGCAUUUGGCACUCUAUAUGAGAUAUUCUCUUGCUCCUCUGUUGUUUUAGUUAGUCUUUAUUCCCAUAAUUGAUGCGAUUCGCGUAAAUGAGACUAUAAACAAAUGACCUACCCUUCAACAAAUUUACAAUGCUU